UACAGAGGUCUCAAGCGUUGUUCGGAUUCAUUGGGCGUAAAGGGUGUGUAGGUGGCGCGCUAAGUCGGGUGUGAAAUUUCGGAGCUUAACUCCGAAACUGCAUUCGAUACUGGCGUGCUUGAGGACUGGAGAGGAGACUGGAAUUCAUGGUGUAGCAGUGAAAUGCGUAGAGAUCAUGAGGAAGACCAGUGGCGAAGGCGGGUCUCUGGACAGUUCCUGACACUGAGACACGAAGGCCGGGGAAGCAAACGGG
rnacentral:rRNA from 1 species